rnacentral:rRNA from 1 species
UACGAAGGGUGCAAGCGUUACUCGGAAUUACUGGGCGUAAAGGGUGCGUAGGCGGUUCGUUAAGUCUGUCGUGAAAUCCCCGGGCUCAACCUGGGAAUGGCGAUGGAUACUGGCGAGCUAGAGUGUGUCAGAGGAUGGUGGAAUUCCCGGUGUAGCGGUGAAAUGCGUAGAGAUCGGGAGGAACAUCAGUGGCGAAGGCGGCCAUCUGGGACAACACUGACGCUGAGGAGCGAAAGCGUGGGGAGCGAACAGG